rnacentral:lncRNA from 1 species
UAAAGUAGCCUUGAGAGCUUCCAGUUAAAUCUGAUGAGCUGAACAUACACCUUUCCUUCUCCCCUCUCUAUUCUGACCCCAGUUGAAAUCACCUCAAAGGAAUUUAGGUGGGGGAGUGGCCCCAUAAAGAGAGUGAGAGAGAGUCACCACUGCAGAUGGACCACAGCACGGGUGGAGAUGGGCCUGAUGUGGCAGAGCAGAGAGGCCAUGACAGUGCACACCCUGCGGAGACCCUGGGUCCUCACAUCUGGGCUGACAGAAGGCAGAGGGAAAUGAGCAUCUCAAAGUGAGACCAACUAAACAUGGCGCCUGCAGCAGAAAGCAGUGUCCUCUGCACCCCCACUCUCCAGGGAGAGCACAGAGAGCCCAGAAAUGAGCCAUGUGCCCAUUGCCGGGGAAGAGAAGACCCUGUCUGCUGUUAUCUGUAGGAAGACCACAGCCAACUGCUAUCAUGACCAAAGCUAAAAUCCAAUGAGGCAGAGAACAAUAGUUGUACCCAUCUCCUCCUUAGUCUCCAAGGCCAGCGGUGCAUGCAUUUGUGCAUUCAACAACAUUUGCCAAGCACUUACUGUAUAUCAAGCACAGCAGUGGGUGCUGAGGACGGAUGGGUAGAAAAAACAGUCCUGGCCCAGGUGGAGUGACAGCUACAUGUUGGGGACUGCAGUAUCCCAAGAUGCAAAGAGCCUGGAUCUCUGAGUCACUCCACUGCCUGGAGAAGGAUGACUCAACUGGAACAUCCUCAUUAGACAACAGGUGGGUGAGAAAUAAACUUUUGUUAAGUCACUAAAAUUUGGAGGUCGUUUGCAACAACUGGCAUGAUUUAUUUAAUACUAUGGAAAUUGGUGUUCUGAAGUGGGUUGCUGCAGUAACAAAAAUAUCUGGCCAUUUUCUUAGCAGUUGAACAAGAGGUGGGGUGGAAACAGCAUGCUGGGUGACUGGACAUCUAUGUUACAUAGUGACAAGACAUCUGGCAAAUGGUCAUGUGCAGAAACUUGGAAGGCUGACUCCAUCACUAUAGGCUCAUGGCAGUUAUUGGAUAAUGGAAUGUUAGAAAUGUG